UACGGGGGGGGCAAGCGUUGUUCGGAAUUACUGGGCGUAAAGGGCGCGUAGGCGGUUCGCUAAGUUGGAUGUGAAAGCCCCGGGCUCAACCUGGGAAUUGCAUUUAAAACUGUCCAGCUAGAGUCUUGUAGAGGGGGGUAGAAUUCCAGGUGUAGCGGUGAAAUGCGUAGAGAUCUGGAGGAAUACCGGUGGCGAAGGCGGCCCCCUGGACAAAGACUGACGCUCAGGUGCGAAAGCGUGGGGAGCAAAAGGG
rnacentral:rRNA from 1 species